rnacentral:misc_RNA from 1 species
GAUUGGUUUGUUAUGUGACUUCNCCUUGUGCUCUUUGGGGUAUGAGGUGGACAUGCGGUGAGCACCGUGUUCUUAACAUGCCAAAUGCAUUGGUGUUUGGUUGUUGUGGCCUAUGGUGUCUUUGCUUGUUCUCUCGGAUGCGGAAAGUUAAGUGUGGGUGUGAGGUCUCGACCUUGAAUCGUCCUAGCACUGUCU